CCAAACCAUAAGAGACUUUUGAUGGCCAGAUUCAGCUAUCAGCCAUCGAAUUUCAAAGGGAUUUGGAUUUCCCCUGUUUACUCCUUUUCCUUUCCCAUUGGAUCGGCUGCCAUCGUCAGAUGACCAUGGUCGCCGAGGGUCUGAGGCUACUGGACGAGUUCCGCCACCAUCAAAAGCUGUCGCUCGUCAAGAACCACCACUAGGGAGGUGGCCAGCCUAAGCCAUCAUCCCCUUCCC
rnacentral:lncRNA from 1 species